UCUCUCUGAAUCUGCGAACGGCUCCGCAUACCAGUUGUAAACUAUAGCGAGUUUGCCACAGGGUUGGUCGUAAGGCUGAUCCUGGGGUAACAGGGAUAACCAUGGUAAUUCUGAGGCUAAUACAUGAACGGUAACCCCUGAUCGACCGGGCAACUGGAAGGUCGGGGAGCGUGUGAUCAGGCGCAGAUUUUGCUGGGAAUAGAUGCACGUUCAGACCACCAUACCAAACGGUCUGGGUGUCUCCCUCACGGGGGGCACUCUUUCUGGGUGGCUCUCGCUUUGUGCUUCUGACCUAUCAACUAGAUGGCAGCGUAACGGACAUGCUAUGGUUACAACGGGUACAGAGGAUAAGGGUUCGAUCCUGGAGAGUGGGCCUGAGAGAUU
rnacentral:rRNA from 1 species